UACAGAGGUGGCAAGCGUUGUUCGGAAUUACUGGGCGUAAAGGGCGCGUAGGCGGCCUUCUCAGUCAGACGUGAAAUCCCCCGGCUUAACCUGGGAACUGCGUCUGAUACUGGAGGGCUUGAGUAUGGGAGAGGGAUGUAGAAUUCCAGGUGUAGCGGUGAAAUGCGUAGAUAUCUGGAGGAAUACCGGUGGCGAAGGCGGCAUCCUGGACCAUUACUGACGCUGAGGCGCGAAAGCUAGGGGAGCAAACAGG
rnacentral:rRNA from 1 species